AGAAAUUAGGUUGCAUCAUAAUGUAAUUGUGAAGUCUGAAGUCUUAACAGAUCCCCACACGCACGGAGAUGCCACAUCACACACACACACAGAGGAAAAGGAGAAGAAAAAAAAAAAAAAACCAAAAGAAAAAAGCUCUCCUGGGGAGUUACCAGUUAGAUGCAAGCAAAAAGUAUCUUUACACUGAAUUUAGAAGUCACCUUGCAGAGAUUAAAAGCGAGCUGUAUGGACAGGAUGCUAGGAAGUCAUUAAAUAGGGAAGAAAACCCUCGGAGAGCCAAAGAGAAAGUGCUUUUGGCAGUGGCAUCCUCAGGAGUCAGAUGGAGAUGGCGUUGGAUUGAAAUUUUCCGGAGUCCUGCUCUGGUUCUUUCAGUAGCAGGGCUUGUCUCCUCCCUUCCAAAUGUCCCUAACAUAAAGGAGAAAAAGCUGACACCGUUGCUUUUAACAAUUCCUGUCAACACUUGCCUAGCCCUGCCUAAAUAUAAAUGGAAGUGAAAGCAGAAAGGGAAGCACAGAACCUGACAAUGUUUGAUCUGUGACCCCAUCCCUCCACACGGGACAGCAAAAAGACAACGUGCACACCCAGAGGUUUCCUCCAGGAAAGGUCAGUUGAACCAGCCUGACCUUUUAACCACAUAUAAAGCCAUAAGUCAUCAGCCCUAUCUGAAUGGUCUUCAGUCCCAAGGUGCUCCCAAAAUAACCUGGAGAUAAAGCAGAGUGAUAAAAAUCAGGAGAUGCUGCUGAGUUGGGUGUGCAGUUGCUUCUUCGAGAUGUUUCUUCAAGAGGAUUGGUACAUAUGCUGUAAGUCAAAGUCAGGGGACAGGGAAAAAAACAACUCCCUGGAGAAAGGAGAGAGAUCAGCAUUUUAUCACAGGCAAAUAAGUUGGAAACUCUCAAAUUUUAUAGAUAUGUAGAUGCAAGCACAUGAAGAUGCUGCUAUUAGAGCAUUAAAAAUGGAAGUAUUAUCUUGCUACUCAAUGAUUCUACUAAAUAGCUAUGAAUGUCUAAUUAAGUAGGUCUUAAAUCUGUGUGAAUAUAGUUCAUUUUAUUAUUUAGGACUGAAAUAUGAAAUAUUGUAAUAAUAACUUAAAAGUGUGGGUGAAAUAUCCCAGAAUUAUUCUCCUAAGUAGAAAGAUAUGAACAAAAUGUAGCAACAGCUUAACUCCUUCUUCUGACAUGGAGACAAAAACAUUGAAUUAUUCAGACACCAGUAUUUGAUCUGCAGCAAAUAAUCCUUGCUCUGCAAUGCACAAGAGAAGGAGAAAUUCGGUCUAACUGGAUUCAUUAAUCUGACCAUACACACACACACACACACACAAUUUAUUCAACUGCAGUCAACAAACCAUCCAGGAAACAAGAGCUCAGACACUAUAAAUUGUCUAAAAGCACUUAAGAAACAUGAGAUUAAACUAAAACCCCACCACCACCAGUGGGGUACAUGUACAGAGUGCUACAUCUUCUU